rnacentral:rRNA from 1 species
UACGUAGGCAGCAAGCGUUGUUCGGAGUUACUGGGCGUAAAGGGUGUGUAGGCGGCCUUAUAAGUAUGGUGUGAAAUCUCCCGGCUUAACUGGGAGGGUGCGCUAUAGACUGUGGGGCUAGAGUGUGGGAGAGGAAAGUGGAAUUCCUGGUGUAGCGGUGAAAUGCGUAGAUAUCAGGAGGAACACCGGUGGUGUAAACGGCUUUCUGGACCAUAACUGACGCUGAGGCACGAAAGCGUGGGUAGCAAACAGG